rnacentral:rRNA from 1 species
CCCCUAGAGGAGCCUGUUCUAUAAUCGAUAAUCCACGAUCUACCUCACCAUCUCUUGCCAAUACCGCCUAUAUACCGCCGUCACCAGCCUACCCUAUGAAGGAUAUAAAAGUAGGCAAAAUCGCACAACAGCUAACAAGUCAGGUCAAGGUGUAUCUUACUGAGAUGGAAGAAAUGGGCUACAUUUUCUAAACUAGAAAUCCUUUCACGGAAAGAACUAUGAAACAAGUUCUAUAAGCAGGAUUUAGCAGUAAAUAGGGAUCAGAAUGCCCAAUUUAAGCCGGUCCUAAGGUACGC